rnacentral:sRNA from 1 species
GCCAGGUGCAGUGGUGCACGCCUAUAAUCCCAGUGGCUGGGGAGGCUGAGGCAGGAGGAUCAUGAGUUCAAAGUCAGCCUCAGCAACUGUGAGGCGCUAAGCAACUCAGUGAGAACCUGUCUCUA